AUCAGCCCAAAAGGCCUGUAGUACUACAACAAUCUCAUCAAUGGACAUGUCCUCCAUGGUAAUAUCACCGUAAAACAACAACUUGAUUCAUCAUUACAAAUGAAUUUUGUUUUGCCUCGAUUAUAGAUAGAAGAAUCCUUGGAGGAGCUUGCACCAGCUUGUUGUUUAUGCAGACUCAGAAAUACCCUAUGCCAGAAUACGAUAUUUGGUUUAUCAAGUUUUCAUGCAAUUUUCAUUACAAUGUGGCAGCAAUAGUUUCUGUCAAGAGCACAGGAUUUAUUAGAAUGACUUCCUAGAUUCUGCAAUCUUAAGCAUUUGAAGCUGACUAAGCUCUUACAUGUCUUGUUGUGAAACUGCAAUAUUAUGGCCUGUUUGUAUGGGGGUGAAUUCUGUUUUUUUCUUCUUCU